rnacentral:lncRNA from 10 species
CACACAACGGGGUUUCGGGGCUGUGGACCCUGUGCCAGGAAAGGAAGGGCGCAGCUCCUGCAAUGCGGAGCAGCCAGGGCAGUGGGCACCAGGCUUUAGCCUCCCUUUCUCACCCUACAGAGGGCAGGCCCUUCAGCUCCAUUCUCCUCCAAGGCUGCAGAGGGGGCAGGAAUUGGGGGUGACAGGAGAGCUGUAAGGUCUCCAGUGGGUCAUUCUGGGCCCAGAGAUGGGUGCUGAAGCUCCCACGCCUGCCUGUGAAAAUGGAGUCCUCUCUCACCUGGGAGAGCCAGGUGCUGCCCCGAGAAGGAUGCAUUUAUGGCUUCGUGAAGUCUUUCCUGACCCCCGAUGCUGCUGACUAUAGAGACAAAGUCUCACUAUGUUGCUCAGGCUGGUCUUGAACUCCUGGCCUCAAGCGAUCCUCCCACCUCAGCCUCCCAAAGUGUUGGGAUUAUAGACAUGAGCCACUGCACCUGGCCGACCUUGGGCAAGUUCUUAAACCCUUCAAAGCCUCAUUUUUCUCCAAUCACAAAAGGGAAAGAUGGUAAUAUUUUCCCCACCAAAUUCUUGUCGGAUGCCCUCACAGAAUUGAGAUUAUGUACGUAAAACACCAGGUGCCUAACCCGGCACAGAGCAGGAGGGCUAAGCGUGACAUCCAGCACGUGGUCAGUGGAAUCCAGUAUUCCUACCCACCUCUCUAGUCUCCCCUCCACCCCUCUCCCUUUCAGAGGCACCAAGCUGCUUGUGGUCUUGUCUAUUCCCACUCCCUGCCUGACUGAACAUUUUCUCCACCUCCUGAUCAUCAGCAGCAGAAACUGGCUGCUCUUCCUCCUGGGUAGACAGCCAGACUGUAUUUCCCAGCUGCCCCUGCAGUGAGAUGUGGCCAUCGGAGCCAGCAUUGGCCAAUGGACUCUGCAUGGGAGUGACGCAUGCUGCCUCCAGGCUUGUCCCUAAAACCUCCCACGUGUCCUCCGCCUGCUCUUCCCACCUCCAAGGAGCACGGCAAUUGUGGAAGACCCAGAUUAGUGAUGGCAGAACCAUAGAUGGGAGGAACCUGGGUCCCUGACUUAAAGUAUCAUGGAUUUGGAUGUUCCCUUAGUGAGAAAUAAACUUCCAUUGUGUUUAAGCCUUU